AAGAAAAAUGUAUCCUCUUUAACCGUUUUAGCGCUACGCAGCGCGAUCACGCUGUUCACGUACUGUGGUGAAACUGUGUCGCGAUGUUUGGUCACAAUCGUCAAUUCGCAACGCGCUCGGUUCCGAAAGUAACACAUCGAGAGUGAUAUCAGAAA